CUUACACUGGUGCCAGGAUGAAAGCGUACAAAAGUACAGAGUUAGUGUUUUCGAUCUGAAUGGGUCAAUAGUGCUGCCAUUUGGGACAUGAAAGCCAAGAAAUUCUUCACUGUCAGAGGAAAGGCCGGUGGCUGGCGCACAGGAAACAAAGAUUGCUCCUGUCUCCUCCCGCGACUACAGCAGUCGCGGGAGGAGCUGAAGAGACAGACAUCGAUGCUUCAGCGCCACCAGUGUUUUGGACGGCCAGAGAGUACGGGGCGGCGGGGCCACCGACACACCCACGGCUCAUGAAUGGUGCACCGGGCGGAAAGAAUUCCACCAUCGAGCAGGCGAGGGGAGAAUAUAAAAAGGGCAAUAUUCCACGCGCAAGAGACGAAGAGGAUCUCCGAACGAAGUCGCCGCGAGUGAAGGCUCCGCUUCCUGGUCGUCACCAAAGACAGCCAAGACCUUCACCGCCCGAUCGCACUUCAACACACACACACACACACACACACACACGCGCGCGCACUCCCCUCACAUCUGUCUUGAAUAAAGAUCCCUCCACAAGCAACCCUAAAACAGCCUCCUGUGUGUCUGUGCUCCGCCCACCGCAGGCUAA